AUUGAACGCUGGCGGCAGGCUUAACACAUGCAAGUCGAGCGGUAACAGGAGAAGCUUGCUCCUCGAUGACGAGCGGCGGACGGGUGAGUAAUACUUAGGAAUCUACCUAGUAGUGGGGGAUAGCUCGGGGAAACACGAAUUAAUACCGAAUACGACCUAUGGGCGAAAGGGGGCAAGUUAUUGUUGUCGCUUUUAGAUGAGCCUAAGCCGGAUUAGCUAGAUGGUGGGGUAAAGGCCAACCAGGGCGACGAUCUGUAGCCGGUCUGAGAGGAUGAUCAGCCACACCGGGACUGAGACACGGCCCGGACUCCUACGGGAGGCAGCAGUGGGGAAUAUUGGACAAUGGGGGCAACCCUGAUCCAGCCAUGCCGCGUGUGUGAAGAAGGCCUUGUGGUUGUAAAGCACUUUAAGCAGUGAAGAAGACUCCAUGGUUAAUACCCAGGGACGAUGACAGUAGCUGCAGAAUAAGCACCGGCUAACUCUGUG
rnacentral:rRNA from 1 species